rnacentral:ncRNA from 1 species
AGCCCUCGGUGGCGGGGUCAAGCCACUACCUCCCUGUUGGACUUGCCCGGGGCAUCCCCUAGAUGCACCCGGGCCUUUUU